UACUGCGCCGUGUGUGGUAGCGGAAACGCCCACAAAGCCUCGCUUAUGGAGCUUUAGCAACACGUAGCGCAGUUUU
rnacentral:sRNA from 12 species